rnacentral:lncRNA from 1 species
GAACUCCACCACCGGCCCCUCUACGCCCCCAAGCAGUUUGCAGCGUGUGCGUGUGCAAGACGGUAGGCACGUCGAUGCAGUCCAUCCCACGAUCCGACCGCAGAUGCUGGCCCCUCUGCACCUUGGUGCCCGGCGCGGGCACCACCGCAGCCCCAUCCCCGUGCCACCUCCCUUAGCCCCGGAUCCACCAGCACAUCCCCCGCCCACGGCGCGCCACGGUCAACAGCGUUUCUCCGAGCCUCUUUCUCUCACAGCCUCCUUAAUGAUCUCUCUCCCCCUUGAUUUGUCUACGCCAGAGCAGCUGCGGCGUUAGUGCGCCAUCAGAUCGAGUGCUGAUGACCACAAGCAGUGAGAGGACUAGAGGAGGUGAUGUAGGGUCAUUUUCCUUUGUCAAUUCAGUGCAAUUUCUUUGUUUGCUGCAAUUCGAUUCACAAAUUAAGUGCGAUUCAUUUUUUUGCUAUUUUUUACAGGAAGAAAAAGGACUGCAACCGCGUGCAGUACAUCACCCCGUGCGGGUUCCGUGCCAUGGUGAUUUUUUCGAGUCAUGUUGCAUUUUACUUGCUUGAGCGAGCGGUUCGUCAGGCACAUUCCAUGCAGUGCAUUGCCAUGUUUUUGCAGUGUGUUGGCAUGUCCUUUCCAUUGAAGCACCAUCUAUUUCUCCGUGCAGUGCAUUGGCAUGUUUUUGCAGUGCGUUGGCAUGUUCUUUGCCGGGAAGCACCAUCUAUUUAUGUGACGAGUUUGUGUUUUCUUUGUAUGUUUAGUGCACUACAGUUUAGGGCACCUCGUGCGGUUCAGAAAUGUGGGCUUGGAGUGCAUUAGCUCAUCCUAUGACAAAGAAAACAAGUGUCUCAUAUGCUGAAUUUGGUGUCUCGUGUGUACUGUUUGUGUAAAAAGAAUGAUGUUUCAUUACCUCUCUGUAUGAAGUGCGUUUGGUCCUUGGAUGUGGUUCAUUUUUUAGAGUGAUGUUGUUCACUUGUGCCCAACACGAAAGUGCUAAAAUUUUAGCGAAACAACAAAGAUAGUAAUGCGGUUCAUUUCGAUAUAUGUCGCGGUUCAUUUGAUUCGUCUGUGCUGUCCACUCUUGUUCAUGUUUUUUUGAAUAAACACAACAAAAACUCGUAUGAGAAAAAACAUGAAAGUGCG